rnacentral:rRNA from 1 species
GUCUACAGUCAUACCAUCCUGAACAUGUCCAAUCUUGUCUGAUCUCAGAAGCUAAGCAGGAUCGGGCCUGCUGAGUACUUGGCUGGGAGAAAUGUAAGAGCUAGACA